rnacentral:rRNA from 1 species
CUUCCACGCGCAUCUCUUCACGCGGCAGGGUGAAAGCAACCCAUCUCAUUCCUUCCAUCCACUCCCCAAUGCCUCCUCCUCAUCCCCAGCUGGCGGCUCGACCUCUCGCGCCCUCGCCGCCAUCAACCUCUCGUGCCCUCACAUGCCAGCCGCCGAUCUCCCGCGCCCUCACCCGCCAGCAGCCGAAGUCGCUCUCCCCCACCGACCGCCGUGCUCGGGAUUUAUGGCUGCUCCUUUGCCUCGCCCAUCUAGAUCCGCCAUCGCCUCCCUCCCUUGCUGAUGUUCAUCUUAUCUAUUUAUGCAGGGGGGCUCGUCCUUCCGUGGUGCUCAGCCACCGUCCGAUUUGGAGGGAGAAUAGGAGACCCCAACGAAAACGAGCGUGCUAGCCGCGGACCCAAGGAUGCGCGGUGAUUGCGGCAGGUCCAUGCUCCAGUUCUUCUGUUGGAACUAGGAGGGUGCAGAUAAAUAAGAGUUGUUGGCAGCAGCAACCUACACAUGUGGAAACAGUGGCUAUGGCGGCUCAAAGGGAAGUUGUGGCUGCUAGAUAGCAACUCACAACUUAGUGUCGGCUCAAAGUACAUAUAAUCUAUUUCUUCUUGGAGCUAUCUACUAUCAUAUUAUGACUCGGUGCUAGCUGAAGCUUCUAUUUUCUCGCCUUUUGUGGUGGUGAUGAUUCCUUCAACUGCAAUAGUUUUUCUACAUGCCAUUGCUAUUCCUCAUGUUGCAACCUUUUCCCGUAGAAUCAAAAGGAAUUAGAUGGAAGAAAUUGCAGGAGAGCAGGAAGGGUAUUCCUGGUGUGACAUUCAAAGGCAGUCAAAACGGCGAGGUUUAGAACGGAGGAGUUCUGUGGAAUUAUGGAUAAAAAAUUAUCAAUAACAUGUCUGUCAUUGCUCAUGUCGACCAUGGUAUGUGACCGAGUGGUGACAGUUGUCUCUAAUUAUCAAUUUUAUAUAGAGUCUUCUUGAUUGAUGAUUUUGUAGCCUUCUCUUAGUUGUACCAUAUUAAUUCUUAAAACUGGAUCAUUUAAAAUUAGUUAGAUUUAAUGAGUUGUUUCACUGUUUUCAAAUAAGUAGUUUAAGCCCUUAUUGUGUUCUUGAGCCUAUUCUUUCUGCCUUUUUAUGAUUGAUUUAUGCUCUCACAAGCUUAAAUGUAACUAUUGACAUAUGAUCUCAUGGCUCAAAGUCUUAGUUGUUGAAUGUAUUAAAAUCUAUAAGAUCUGGAGUUUGCACUAUAUUUCAUCCAGCGGUAUUCCCAGUAACUGAAUGUUAAGAGCAUGACGAUCCCAGGUUGUACAUUCAGGUACUGGGAAAUGCUUUUAUCUUGUAGGCCAGUUUUACAUUUACUUUCUCAAUAACGAGAUGACCAUGAACAAGGUAUCAAGGUAUUUUCCUUGGCAUUAUUAACGUUGUGUUCAGAUUACUAAAAGAAGGAUUGAUAGAGGCAUACCUUAACUCGACUGAUGCUUUAACUGCUGCCUCUCUAAGCCUUGAUUAGCCAUGGAGAUACUCAAGUUCCAAAUCCCCAAGUGAGGCCAUCCUUCUAAGAUCCGUUCAACAGUUCAUUAAUUUGUUUGAAAUAUAUAUCUAUAUUCCAAUAUUGCUCAAUCUCCAGCUGGCCUCUAGGUUAUCAGAUGAAAUCCGGUUAAAUUUUAGGGAGGUUGAGUAGGAGUGUUUGGAACUAAAGGCUUUGUUGUUGUUGUUUGAGUAGAAGUAUCUCCCUUUUCCGUAUAAAUUUUGUUGCUAUGAAUAGUUGCAUUGUUACGUCAGUGAAAACUUCCUGCGCGUACUAUGUGUUCCUCUAGACUUGAUUGAAAGUAUACCUUAUGUUAUCCAGUUUCUCACUACACAUGUUACCUUUGUUGCUGAAUUUUGCCUAUUGUUUAUAUAUAGUAGACUCACAUGAUUACCUGAUGACUCAUUCACGCAAGAACUAUUGUUAAUUUUUUCCUUUUCUGCAAUGAUGGUCGUAGCCCUUUGAUUCUACAAGCCGCAAAGGAGUGAAGUGUAGAAAAUAUGUCCAUUGUCGUUGAAUUGGUGGGAUUGUCACCAAGUUAGUGCUGCAGAUUGUUUCUAUUUUAGAGCAAGAAGCCAAAUCAUGUAGUUCAUUGUAAAUCUUGAAAAACUUGUUUAUUGUCACUUCUAUAUCUGUUAUAAACUUUUUUUCGUGAUGUGGUACUUGUCAAUCUUGGUUUGCCCUUCCAUUUCAAGUCUGCCCUUAAAUUCUAGCAGACCAAAAAGUACUUGUUUCUUCAAUUGGUUUAUCGUUUCAUGUUUGCACUUAUAUUACAGUACAACAUUUCAUAAACAUGGCAUUGGGCAUUGUUUGUCCAGUUCCCUUCAAAAAAGAAGAGAUGGCUAUAGAGAGUGGAUCCUUCUAACAUAACAGAGCAGAGGAGUGGGAACUAUAAACAUGCCUCACUGAAGAGAUGAAAAAUGUUGUGCAAGGCAUUGGUUGUUAAGCUCCUUUUAAAAAUGAAGGAAUUAUAGUGCAUUUGACUUAUAAAGGGGUUGUGAAGGACAAAAUGCUAUGGAUUCAGAGUAGUGGGAGGGCACAGUUUACCAACGGUGCAAGGACAAAAAGCGUGACCUUGAUUCCAAAGUUCCAGCUCACAUAGCAGAAUUGUAUAGAGAGGAUGCCUGCAUUUUGAAAACUCUGUUAUAUAGUUUGAGGCUAUGUUUCUUUCAAUUUUCAUUAUUAAAAGGAUCCUAUUAUUGCCAAAUUGUCAAUUAUUUUCAAAUAGCUCUUGGUUUGAAAUGGGACCUUGUGCCAUCUGGCAC